GGGGAUUUAGCUCAGUGGUAGAGCGCUUGCCUAGCAAGCGCAAGGCCCUGGGUUCGGUCCCCAGAGCCG
rfam:Rattus norvegicus chromosome 13, whole genome shotgun sequence.